rfam:Salmo salar isolate Sally breed double haploid chromosome ssa14, whole genome shotgun sequence.
UGGCUCAGUUGGUAGAGCAUGGUGUUUGCAACGCCAGGGUUGUGGCUUCGAUUCCCAC